rnacentral:rRNA from 1 species
CCUACGGGAGGCAGCAGUAGGGAAUAUUGGACAAUGGGCGAAAGCCUGAUCCAGCAAUGCCGCGUGAGUGAUGAAGGCCUUAGGGUUGUAAAGCUCUUUUACCCGAGAUGAUAAUGACAGUAUCGGGAGAAUAAGCACCGGCUAACUACGUGCCAGCAGCCGCGGUAAU